CGGCCACCAUAAAGGGCCACGUCUGCGGGAAAGAAGAGGGUGGAGGAGGAUAUACUAAAAGAAGACAGAUCAGUCUCUCUCCUGAUAAGAAGAGUCACCAAGAGGAACAUCUGCAACAACUAGACAGAUGCUGCUACAAAGAGACCAAUCAACAACUGCUCAGCAGAGAUACAGAUCUGAAGCACAGAAGUGCAAUAGACCUUCCUGAUGCCUUCGCCAGGAGCAUGGAAUUCUUCCCAGAGUCACAGAAGAUGGCACAGCCUGGGGACAAUUGGGAAUCACCUGGAGGAUGGCAGGUAGCACUGUUACAUUUACUUAAAAAUUUGGCCAGGCAUGGUGGUUCACACCUGUAAUCCGGCACUUUGGGAGGCCAAGAUGGGAGGAUAGCUUGAGGUCUGGAGUUUGAGACCAGCCUGGGCAACAAAAUGAGACUUCAUCUCUAAAAAGAUUUAAUUUUUUUUAAUUUUUAAAAUUUGAGGGUCACAGAUUGUUUAAAAAG
rnacentral:lncRNA from 10 species